rnacentral:rRNA from 1 species
AUAUAUGGCUAUACUACUCUGAACACGACCAAUAUAGUUUGAUUUCUAAAGCUAAGCAGGAUGAAGUCUGGUUAGUACUUGGAUGGGAGAAGGCUGAGACUACCAGGUGUUGUAGGCC